AUUGAACGCUGGCGGCAGGCUUAACACAUGCAAGUCGAACGGUAACAUAAAGAAGCUUGCUUCUUUGAUGACGAGUGGCGGACGGGUGAGUAAUGCUUGGGAAUCUAGCUUAUGGAGGGGGAUAACUACGGGAAACUGUAGCUAAUACCGCGUAGAAUCGGGAGAUGAAAGUGUGGGACCUUCGGGCCACAUGCCAUAGGAUGAGCCCAAGUGGGAUUAGGUAGUUGGUGAGGUAAAGGCUCACCAAGCCGACGAUCUCUAGCUGGUCUGAGAGGAUGACCAGCACACUGGGACUGAGACACGGCCCAGACCCCUACGGGAGGCAGCAGUGGGGAAUAUUGCGCGAUGGGGGCAACCCUGACGCAGCCAUGCCGCGUGAAUGAAGAAGGCCUUCGGGUUGUAAAGUUCUUUCGGUAGCGAGGAAGGCAUUUAGUUUAAUAAACUGGAUGAUUGACGUUAACUACAGAAGAAGCACCGGCUAACUCCGUG
rnacentral:rRNA from 1 species